AUUCUAAGGUGUUGCCGCCCGCACAGCCUCGUAGCGCUCGUCCAUCAUCAGCUGCUCCGCGACCUUCCCGCAGCUGUAUGCUUCUCUGCAGUGGGAGAGCGUCAGUCACGCGCACGCAGGGGAGUCUGGAACAAAAUCUACCGAGACAGUGUAGGAAAUGUUCAAAGUAACAUGCUUAGGCACCUGUUCAUGGCUCCUUUAGAUCGACAUGGUGAAGAUUGGUGUAGGAAGAAAGAACUGCAAGAAAAACGAAUUCCUCUCCACUAGAUUCAGAAGAAAUUCCAUAUUUACGGGCCCUUCAAGGCACACACAAAAAAGUAAGAAAUAGAAAAUAUGCUUUCCCCCUUAAUAAAAGUAUUUAUUUAAAAAAUUAAA